rnacentral:rRNA from 1 species
UUGGAGGGCAAGUCUGGUGCCAGCAGCCGCGGUAAUUCCAGCUCCAAUAGCGUAUAUUAAAGUUGUUGCAGUUAAAAGGCUCGUAGUUGAAUUUCGGGGUUAGUAGGUUGGUCGUGCCUCAGGUAUGUACUGAUCUCACUGAUUCCUCCUUCCUGAUGAACCGUAAUGCCAUUAAUUUGGUGUUGCGGGGAAACUGGACUGUUACUUUGAAAAAAUUAGAGUGUUUAAAGCAGGCUAACGCUUGAAUACAUUAGCAUGGAAUAAUGAAAUAGGACGUUCGAUCCUAUUUUGUUGGUUUCUAGGAUUGACGUAAUGAUUAAUAGGGAUAGUUGGGGGCAUUAGUAUUCAAUUGUCAGAGGUGAAAUUCUUGGAUUUAUUGAAGACUAACUACUGCGAAAGCAUUUGCCAAGGAUGUUUUCAUUAAUCAAGAACGAAAGUUAGGGGAUCGAAGACGAUCAGAUACCGUCGUAGUCUUAACCAUAAACUAUGCCGACUAGGGAUCGGAUGAUGUUAAUUUUUUAAUGACUCAUUCGGCGCCUUACGGGAAA